GGAGAGAUGGCUGAGUGGUCGAAAGCGCCACCCUGGAAAGGUGGUAUAGGGGCAACUCUAUCGAGGGUUCGAAUCCCUCUCUCUCCGCCA
rnacentral:tRNA from 1 species